UAUGGCAGAUUAUAUGG
rnacentral:tRNA from 1 species